UUUGUUUUUGAUUGAUAAACAGUUAGUAUAAAGGAGGACAGUAUACAAAACAAACAACAAAAGCAACAGUGAGAAUACAGGGGCACAGUAAAGAAAAUAAAUAAAAGAAGCACCAGGGCCUCAGGAUGAACUGUUUCACCUCCAUUGAGAGCUCCUUUGACUGCAUGUUGUGUGUUCACAGCAACAGCUUCCAAAUGCAAACACCACACCUGGAAUCAACUCCAGACUUUUUAACUGCUUAAUUGGUGACAGGUUAACGAGGGAAGAGCCCAUGCAGCCUUGUUUUUUUUUUUGCAGCUUUCUGAGUCAAUUGUCCAAUUACUUUUGGUCCCUUGAAAAAGAGGUGGAUGCAUAUUAAAGAGCUGUAAUUCCUAAA